AACGAACGCUGGCGGCAUGCCUAACACAUGCAAGUCGAACGAGACCUCCGGGACUAGUGGCGCAUGGGUGCGUAACGCGUCGGAACCUGCCCUUAGGCUCGGAAUAAUUCCUUGAAAGGGGUGCUAAUACCGGAUAAUGUCCUCGGACCAAAGAUUGAUCGCCUUUGGAUGGGCACGCGUUGGUCUAGCUAGUUGGUAGGGUAAAAGCCUAUCAAGGCGAGGAUCCAUAGCUGGUCUGAGAGAAUGAUCAGCCACACUGGGGGGAAGACACGGCGCAGACUCCUACGGGAGGGAGGAGAGGGUAAUAUAGGACAAUGGGCGAAGGCCUGAACCAGCUAUGCCGGGUAAGUGAUGAUGUCGGUAGAGAUGUGAAGCUCUUUUACCCGGGACGGUAAUGACGGUACCGGGAGAAUAAGCACCGGCUAACUCCGUG
rnacentral:rRNA from 1 species